UACGUAGGUGGCAAGCGUUGUCCGGAAUUACUGGGCGUAAAGCGCACGUAGGCGGAUUGUUAAGUCGGGGGUGAAAUCCUGGAGCUCAACUCCAGAACUGCCUUCGAUACUGGCGAUCUCGAGUUCGGGAGAGGUGAGUGGAACUGCGAGUGUAGAGGUGAAAUUCGUAGAUAUUCGCAAGAACACCAGUGGCGAAGGCGGCUCACUGGCCCGAUACUGACGCUGAGGUGCGGAAGCGUGGGGAGCAAACAGG
rnacentral:rRNA from 1 species